AUUUCUACUUGCAAGAGUACUAUCGAUUCGAAACUCCUCAGGAUAGGAGGCUGGCCGUCAGAUCUUCAAGGAGGUAGCCACACAUAGGCUUCGGGAUGGACUGUACAGCCUUAGACAGUCCGCCAUAGAGCAAUCCAGUUCUAAGUCACCAUUGGACUAAAAGUUUUACAUAGAUCACUGGAUGUGGGCAGACAUAUGGGAGGUCCUCUAUGAUCGGUGAAGCCCUAAGCAGUACUCUGGUAGGCGGUAGAGGACACAGCAAAAUCAAACCACCUAGCA
rnacentral:lncRNA from 1 species